rnacentral:rRNA from 1 species
AUAAUACCAACCGGCGUAAAGCACGACUAAAAAUCAGUUUAACCUUAGUAAACAAAGCCAAGCUGGGCUGUAAAAAGCCAUAAGCCACACUAAACACACUAACAACUAACAACUUCCACUCGUGAAAGCUAGGACACAAACUAAGAUUAGAUACCUUACUAUGCCCAGCCAUAACACAAUAAUUAAAUCACCCAUUAUUCGCCAAAUAACUACGAGUAAAAACUUAAAAUUUAAAAGACUUGACGGUAUCUCACAACAACCUAGAGGAGCCUGUCCAAUAACCGAUACUCCACGAUCAACCCAACCCACUCUAGCCAAACAGUCUAUAUACCGCCGUCGCCAGCCUACCUUGUAAAAGAAACAAAGUGAGCCAAAUAGUCACACACUAACACGACAGGUCGAGGUGUAACUAAUGAGCGGGUAUAAGAUGGGCUACAUUUUCUAAAACAGAAAAUACGGACAAACUAUGAAACAAGAAACUAAAGGCGGAUUUAGCAGUAUACCAGGAAUAGAUAUACCUGAUUGAAAUUAACGCAAUGAGAUGCGUACACACCGCCCGUCAUCCCUGCCAAAAAACUUUAAACAUCAAUAAA